UGGGGAAUAUUGCACAAUGGGCGAAAGCCUGAUGCAGCAACGCCGCGUGAGUGAUGAAGGUCUUCGGAUUGUAAAGCUCUGUCUUUUGGGACGAUAAAUGACGGUACCAAAGGAGGAAGCCACGGCUAACUACGUGCCAGCAGCCGCGGUAAUACGUAGGUGGCGAGCGUUGUCCGGAUUUACUGGGCGUAAAGGGUGCGUAGGCGGAUGUUUAAGUGAGAUGUGAAAUACCCGGGCUUAACUUGGGUGCUGCAU
rnacentral:rRNA from 1 species